rnacentral:rRNA from 1 species
UACAGAGACUGCAAGCGUUAUUCGGAUUCACUGGGCGUAAAGGGCGCGUAGGCGGCACUGUUAGUCAGGCGUGAAAUUCCUGGGCUCAACCUGGGGACUGCGCUUGAUACAGCAGAGCUUGAGGAUGGAAGAGGGUCGCGGAAUUCCCAGUGUAGAGGUGAAAUUCGUAGAUAUUGGGAAGAACACCGGUGGCGAAGGCGGCGACCUGGUCCAUUACUGACGCUGAGGCGCGACAGCGUGGGGAGCAAACAGG